rnacentral:rRNA from 1 species
AGCGAACGCUGGCGGCAGGCUUAACACAUGCAAGUCGAGCGGGCACUUCGGUGUCAGCGGCAGACGGGUGAGUAACACGUGGGAACGUACCCUUCGGUUCGGAAUAACGCUGGGAAACUAGCGCUAAUACCGGAUACGCCCUUUUGGGGAAAGGUUUACUGCCGAAGGAUCGGCCCGCGUCUGAUUAGCUAGUUGGUGGGGUAAUGGCCUACCAAGGCGACGAUCAGUAGCUGGUCUGAGAGGAUGAUCAGCCACACUGGGACUGAGACACGGCUCAGACUCCUACGGGAGGCAGCAGUGGGGAAUAUUGGACAAUGGGCGCAAGCCUGAUCCAGCCAUGCCGCGUGAGUGAUGAAGGCCUUAGGGUUGUAAAGCUCUUUUGUCCGGGACGAUAAUGACGGUACCGGAAGAAUAAGCCCCGGCUAACUUCGUG